GCGGCGGACGGGUGAGUAAUGCCUAUGAUCUGCCUGGUAGUGGGGGACAACGUUUCGAAAGGAACGCUAAUACCGCAUACGUCCUACGGGAGAAAGCAGGGGACCUUCGGGCCUUGCGCUAUCAGAUGAGCCUAGGUCGGAUUAGCUAGUUGGUGAGGUAAUGGCUCACCAAGGCGGCGAUCCGUAACUGGUCUGAGAGGGUGAUCAGUCACACUGGAACUGAGACACGGGCCCAGACUCCUACGGGAGGCAGCAGUGGGGGAACAUUGGGAAAUGGGGCGAAAGCCUGAUCCAGCCAUGCCGCGCGUGUGAAGAAGGGCCUUCGGACUGUAAAGCACUUUUAAGUUGGCGAGGGAGGGGGCUUUAGCCUAAUACCGUUGGUUUUUUU
rnacentral:rRNA from 1 species